CGAACCGUCCAAACGUUAUUCGGAAUCACUGGGCUUAAAGGGUACGUAGGCGGCGCUGUUAGUCGGGUGUGAAAGCCCUCGGCUCAACCGAGGAAUUGCGCCCGAUACUGCAGUGCUUGAGGGAGGACAGAGGUAAGCGGAACUGAUGGUGGAGCGGUGAAAUGCGUUGAUAUCAUCAGGAACACCGGUGGCGAAAGCGGCUUACUGGGUCUCUUCUGACGCUGAGGUACGAAAGCUAGGGGAGCGAAGGGGAUUAGAUACCCCCGUACGUCCUAGCUGUAAACGUUGAGCACUUGAUCGAGGACCCCCCCCAUAGGUUCCCGGUCGUAGCGAAAGUGUUAAGUGCUCCGCCUGGGGAGUAUGGUCGCAAGGCUG
rnacentral:rRNA from 1 species